UGAGGAAUAUUGCGCAAUGGGGGCAACCCUGACGCAGCAACGCCGCGUGAGUGAGGAAGGUUUUCGGACCGUAAAGCUCUGUCGAGCGGGAAGAAAUGCAUAGUGGCUAAUAUCCAUAUGCUUGACGGUACCGCUAAAGGAAGCACCGGCUAACUCCGUGCCAGCAGCCGCGGUAAUACGGGGGGUGCUAGCGUUGUUCGGAAUCAUUGGGCGUAAAGAGCGUGUAGGCGGCUGGAUAAGUCAGAUGUGAAAGCCCUGGGCUUAACCCAGGAAGUGCAUUUGAAACUGUUCAGCUUGAGUAAGGGAGAGGAAAGUGGAAUUCCUGGUGUAGAGGUGAAAUUCGUAGAUAUCAGGAGGAACACCGGUGGCGAAGGCGACUUUCUGGCCCUAUACUGACGCUGAGACGCGAGAGCGUGGGUAGCAAACAG
rnacentral:rRNA from 1 species